UCUGUUAUCACAGGCAUGCUUUUCAGAGGUUUUGAUCUUAGAUCUUUAAACAAUCCCUCUAACUAGGGAUUGUUAUUGAGAACUGUACUCUUGAUGUUUCUGAGAUGUUCUAUAUUCUAUACAACAGUUUAAACUAUUUGAAUUUUGUAUUGCCCUAAUUGGCAAACAAGUUAAGUGUUGAACUGAACUGUUAACAUUGAAAUUUAAACAGCACUGUCUGUUACAAACAUUACUUGACUUUAACUGUUAUUAUAGCAUUUUGUAGCUGUAAGGUUCUGCAAAAUUGAUGUCACAAGCUUAUGUGCAUGUGUGAUUGAUUACUUAUGUAAAGUCAUACUUUAAAAAUGAUGCUAUUGCAUUUCUUGUCAUUUAUUCAUUGAGGCAGUCAUUUUUCUGUUUUUGCUAAAAGAAUUCAGGAAAUUAAUGUAAUUCAUGUUUUCCUGAAAAUGGUUAAUAUACAUUUGUUAGUUGACUUUAGUGCUUAAGCAGUUUUAAGCAGUUUUUAGAGCUUAAGCAGUUUUAAGCAGUUUUUAGAGCUUAAGCAGUUUUGGCUUUCUUUUUUCAUAAUGCCAGGAGAAGCUUUAGAUGCUUGUUUUGCCUUUAUUUGUUUAAAGCAAUAUAUUUGACUAGCAGCAAGUGUGUGGAGGUCAAAAUAUGUUCAAGACAAUAAAAAUGUCAGUGAAGGACAUCUGAGAUUUUGUUGCAGUGGUUUUCUGAUGCAUGUGUUUAAGGUUUAAGGGUGGUGACACAGCUAAGACCCGAGAGUCUCUUUCAAGACACUGAAUUUGAGCAGAAACCAUAAGGAUACUCAAAGGACCUGUGACUCUCAGGAAAUGCAUCAAAUGAGAGUGACAGGUGAAACAGUUUCAAGACAAUGGCAGGAAAAGCAUGCUGAAGAUUGAAUCAAACCUUGGCUGGAAAUAUUUGAAGGGAUCUAGCCAGUCCUCAAUGAAAGCUUCGUUGCCCCCCUGUGAAUCUUCUGGCAGAAAUGAUG